AUUGAGGCCCCGUAAUCGGAAUGAGUACACUUUAAAUCCUUUAACAAGGAUCCAUUGGAGGGCAAGUCUGGUGCCAGCAGCCGCGGUAAUUCCAGCUCCAAUAGCGUAUAUUAAAGUUGUUGCGGUUAAAAAGCUCGUAGUUGGUUCUGCGUGCCGCGCUGUCGGUUCGCCGCCUGUCGGUGUAACUGGCAUGUCGCGGCAUGUCCUGUCGGUGGUGAACGGAGUCCACGACGCUACAUGGGCUUUAUAGUCGAUGUUAGCAUCGUGUGUACUUCCGUUGGCCGAUCUCUCCUACUUCGGUGCUCUUAAACGAGUGUCGAGGUAGGCCGACACGUUCACUUUGAACAAAUUAGAGUGCUUAAAGCAGGCUGAAAUAUCUGCCUGAAUAGUGGUGCAUGGAAUGAUAAAACAGGACCUCGGUUCUAUUUUGUUGGUUUUAGGAAUAUGAGGUAAUGAUCAAUGUGGACUGGCGGGGGCAUUCGUAUUGCGACGUUAGAGGUGAAAUUCUUGGAUCGUCGCAAGACGCACUAGAGCGAAAGCAUUUGCCAAGUAUGUCUUAAUUGAUCAAGAACGAAAGUUAGAGGUUCGAAGGCGAUCAGAUACCGCCCUAGUUCUAACCAUAAACGAUGCCAGCCAGCGAUCCGCCGAUGUUCCUUUAAUGACUCGGCGGGGAGCUUCCACCCGGGAAACCAAAGCUUUUGGGUUCCGGGGGAAGUAUGGUUGCAAAGCUGAAACUUAAAGGAAUUGACGGAA
rnacentral:rRNA from 1 species